GACGAACGCUGGCGGCGUGCUUAACACAUGCAAGUCGAGCGAUGAAGUUCCUUCGGGAAUGGAUUAGCGGCGGACGGGUGAGUAACACGUGGGUAACCUGCCUCAUAGAGGGGAAUAGCCUUCCGAAAGGAAGAUUAAUACCGCAUAAGAUUGUAGUUUCGCAUGAAACAGCAAUUAAAGGAGCAAUCCGCUAUGAGAUGGACCCGCGUCGCAUUAGCUAGUUGGUGAGGUAACGGCUCACCAAGGCGACGAUGCGUAGCCGACCUGAGAGGGUGAGCGGCCACAUUGGGACUGAGACACGGCCCAGACUCCUACGGGAGGCAGCAGUGGGGAAUAUUGCACAAUGGGGGAAACCCUGAUGCAGCAACGCCGCGUGAGUGAUGACGGUCUUCGGAUUGUAAAACUCUGUCUUCAGGGACGAUAAUGACGGUACCUGAGGAGGAAGCCACGGCUAACUACGUGCCAGCCGCCGCCGUAAUAC
rnacentral:rRNA from 1 species